UGUCACAGUGAUUGUGGUAAAGCAGAAUAUUGUCGAAAUGAAGGGAAUCACAGAAUACCACAGCAUGCAGAGGGAUCGGAAGGCUUGUGGCAGUUGCCUUGGAAGCUGCCAACUUCUGCAAUGCAUCGAGGCAGAGCGAUACUGUAGGGUGGAAGCUCACUAUCCAUGCGCUUAUUGCAUAUCAAUGAAAGACCGGGCAUCAAAAAUCAGGACAGGAACAUUUGAUUUGGGUUCUGCGUGACCACUUUAUUAAACGGUGAGUUCACAACUCCAUUAAAAAUCCACCCUUACACUGAGGACAGCUGAGAAGAUCAUUGGGGUCUCUUUCCACCGCCCACCCCCACCCAAUUGCCUUACUGCAUUUACACCACACCCCUCACUCAAACUCUUCUCCCAUCUGGCAGAAGUUACUGGAGCACUCGCUGUCACAGCGGCCAGACUGUGCAACAGUUUCUUGCCCCAAGCCAUCAGGCUCCUUUAACGCUGUAUGAUCGGGUGCUUUCCCACCUGCAAUUCUCUGCAGGACUUUAAAUUGCCGCUAGGAAAACGCUGUAACUUGCGUGUUUUGCACUUCUUAUGCACUUUAUGCCGUGUACGAGUGUGGAAUCUGUGCUGUCAAUGUAGCACCCUCUGUCCCGGAGAAACCCUGUCUCAUUUUUACUGUAUCAGUUGUAUGUGGUAGAAAUGACAAAUUAAAAGGCUACUCUCGUUCCUGCACUGUCGCCGGGUGAAAAUCCUGGAACGCCCUUUCAGACAGUAUCACAGCUGCCUGCACUCUAAGUACAGCAGUACAAGGAAACAACUAACUGUGCUGGCCAAUCUGUUCAAACACAUUUUGGCCGCAGUAGCAUUUGAACUCUUGUCUUCAGCAUUCCACCAUCCACAGCACUCUAUUUAGUACCGAUCCUUAUUGAUCUUCCAUCCCAACCUCCCUCCAUCUCCCUCGUCAGCCCUCUAUUCCUGUAAUUUGAGGAUUAGGCCCAUCCCCCUCCUGCUUCCCGCUAUUUCCUGUGACAGUCGGAACCCAGCUCUGCAGACCGAUGAAGAUGUUCGCCUUUUGUCUCCUUUGCGCUUUGCAGGUUCUCUCUGACUCGGCUUCAGCACAGCAUCUGAAAGACAGCAUGGUGGCUGCUACAGGUGCCCCCGUUCGAUUUCCGAGAACUGAUGAAGAAUUCAGCAGUCUCCAUUGGGAAUUUUCAACUUCUAGCAAAACACUUCCCAUUGUAGAUUACAACGAAGGGCAUUUGAUCCAUAUGAGGGUAGAGUUGAACUGAACAAAUCAGAUGGAUCAUUGUUGCUAAAAGAUGUGCACGAGGCAGACACUGGCAAUUACAGAAGAAUUGUGAACUCGAGGAGGACCAGAAUGGUAACUCUAACAGUGAUUGUAACUGCAGCCUCGAGCACCUCCCAGUGAUGCUGAACUGUGUGGUGCACGGAGGUAGGGCCCAUUAAGUUCAGUGGACCAGAGAAAGACUGGCUCCCAGCUCAUGAGCGUCAUUGGCUAUCGGAGGAUAAUAGUACUUUAAUCAUUCAGCACGCUCAGAAACCGGACUCUGGUUGCUGAACAUUCACUGUUGUAAAUCCAGUCAGCCAAAGCAACACCACCUACCAACUGUCUAUUAAAAGUCUUGGGUGUAAUUCCAGAGCUCAUUUUGGAUUAAUUGCAGCCAUUGUUGUGUGUUUGGCCGUGUUCCAAGGGCUUAUGCCCGAAACGUCGAUUCUCCUGCUCCUUGGAUGCUGCCUGACCUGCUGCGCUUUUCCAGCAACACAUUUUCAGCCGUGGCCCCAUUAGUAAUUA